rnacentral:rRNA from 1 species
GCAUAUUAAUCAGCGGAGGAAAAGAAACUAACAAGGAUUCCCCUAGUAACUGCGAGUGAAGAGGGAUUAGCUCAAUGUGUGA